rnacentral:rRNA from 1 species
AUGAGAUGUAAGGGAAAGAGAGAAGAAAGAAAAUGUGUGGAGCAGCUGCUUCGUAUAGAUAGGAUAAGGUUGGGCGAAGCGGUGGGUAGCUUGUGCGGGCACGUGGCGCACGGAGAAGAUGGCUUGAUAGAAGAAGAUCAGUCGGAUGAUUUCAACACUUUUCCAUCUCAAAUUGACAUAUCUACGGAUGCCUACCAAGACAAAAUAACUGGUCUAAACCUGAAAAAGGAAAAAAAAUAUAACCAAAUAAACUAUAGAAAAAGAAUACUAAUCAGAGGAGGAAUCGUUCCUAGCAUGCGUAUUGACUGUGCUUGCUUGGAAUGA